rnacentral:rRNA from 1 species
CGGGGAAUAUUGCACAAUGGAGGGAACUCUGCUGCAGCGACGCCGCGUGAACGAAGAAGGCUUUCGAGUCGUUAAGUUCUUUUAUAUGGGAAGAUAAUGACGGUACCAUAAGAAAAAGCCCCGGCUAACUACGUGCCCGCAGCCGCGGUAAUACGUAGGGGGCUAGCGUUGUCCGGAAUCAUUGGGCGUAAAGGGUUCGCAGGCGGAAAUGCAAGUCAGGUGUAAAAGGCAGUAGCUUAACUACUGUAAGCAUUUGAAACUGCAUAUGUUGAGAAGAGUAGAGGUAAGUGGAAUUUUAAGUGAAGCGGAGAAAUGCGUAGAUAUUAAAAAGAAUACCGGUGGCGAAGGCGACAGACUGGGCUCAUUCUGACGCAGAGGAACGAAAGCGUGGGUAGCAAACAGG